rnacentral:rRNA from 1 species
GGUUUAAUUCGAUGAUACGCGAGGAACCUUACCCGGGCUUGAAUUGCAGAGGAAGAAUUUGGAGACAAUGACGCCCUUCGGGGUCUCUGUGAAGGUGCUGCAUGGUUGUCGUCAGCUCGUGCCGUGAGGUGUCGGCUUAAGUGCCAUAACGAGCGCAACCCCUCUCCUUAGUUGCCAUCAGGUCAAGCUGGGCACUCUGGGGACACUGCCACCGUAAGGUGUGA